rnacentral:siRNA from 1 species
ACGCUUUCAGAUUCAUCCGUA